rnacentral:lncRNA from 1 species
GCCUAUAUGUGUAAUGUGAUCCACCCUGAGUCCCCUUCGGGGUGAGAAGGGCGGAAUAUAAAUGCUGUAAAUAAAUAGCUGGGAAUUGUUUUCCUUAGUGUCUUUCUUUUUAGGCCGGUUCCUGGUGUUAUUUGGAUUGCUGAUUCAGAAAAUUGCAUUGGAUAGACCACAUCAGCUCUAGAUUAUUAAACACGGCUUUCUGUGGGUGAGUAGAUGGAAAACACUGGAUGCUAUAUGUUCUGUAUCAGAAAUUAGAGUCGAUGUGGUCUAUCCAAUGCAGUUCUCUGAAUCAGCACCCCAAAAAACCAAACUGAAUCUAAAGUUGACCAAAAACAGAUUCGUAAUCCAGUUGGUACUAAUAUUGGAGAGGGGUCCCUGCUCAAAAAAAGGUGACGAACCACUGAGCUAGAGAAUGGAUUGCGCUUUUGACCACAAAAAGAACAAUAUAUUUAGGAGCCUUGUUUUUGAAAAAUUCUAGGCAACUCUACAGAUUGCAGAGGUUUCAGAUCCCCAUUUCCCCUCCUUUUCCCUCUGCAGGUCUCCUGCAGGUCUCCUUGCCCUCCUCCGGGGCCUCUUCUGUGUGUGGCCAGGCAUCUUUGACCUUCAGGGCCCAAUCCCACAAUGCCAGGGGUCAAAGGGGAUGGUCGCAAGGGUCGGUGAAGCCAAAGGGUUUCAGAAGGCAAAGACUCAGAACCCGGACCCUUCCCCCGGCAGAGAAGGCUGUCCUGCGGAAGGAGGGAGGCUGCAGGGUGGGAGUGGCAGAAGAGGCUCCAGGCUGAAGUGGAAAAGAACCUGCAGGUGCAGAAAGGUGAGGCGGACUUGGGAGUUGAAAAAGCCACCCUCGGCUUAUACUUGGGUGCUUUCCUGCCAGGACCCUCACCUCUCCGCACAGCAACCCAGCUCUCCUUCCUCUUCUGCUCUCUUGCGCAGUGCUCACCUUCCUCUCCUCCUCUCUUGACCCAGUGCGCACCUUCCUCUCCUCUCUCAACACAGGGCGCACCUUCCUCUUCUCUCUUGAUGCAGUGCGCACCUUCCUCUCCUCUCUCGACGAAGUGCGCACCUUCCUCUCCUCUCUUGGUGAAGUGCGCACCUUCCUUUUCUCCUCUCGGCGCAGUGCGCACCCUCUUCCUCUCUUGUCGAAGUGCGCACCUUUCCUCUCCUCUCUUGUCGAAAGUGAGAACCUU